CCUACGGGAGGCAGCAGUGAGGAAUAUUGGUCAAUGGACGAGAGUCUGAACCAGCCAAGUCGCGUGAAGGAUGACUGCCCUAUGGGUUGUAAACUUCUUUUAUAUGGGAACAAAACAGGGUACGCAUACCCUCUUGUGUGUACCCUAUGAAUAAGGAUCGGCUAACUCCGUGCCAGCAGCCGCGGUAAUACGGAGGAUCCGAGCGUUAUCCGGAUUUAUUGGGUUUAAAGGGAGCGGAGGGGGGUUGUUAAGUCAGUUGUGAAAGGUCGGGGCUCAACCGUAAAAUUGCAGUUGAAACGGGGAGUCUUGAGUACAGGAGGGGUAGGCGGAAUGCGUGGUGUAGCGGUGAAAUGCAUAGAUAGCACGAAGAACUCCGAUUGCGAAGGCAGCUUACUGGAGCGAAACUGACGCUGAUGCACGAAAGCGUGGGUAUCGAACAGGAUUAGAUACCCGAGUAGUC
rnacentral:rRNA from 1 species